rnacentral:tRNA from 1 species
UGUCCCGUAGCUCAGCGGUAGAGCGGAGGUCCGAUAAACCUCGACAGCGCUGGUUCGAUCCCAGCCGGGACAA